rnacentral:rRNA from 1 species
UACAGAGGUCCCAAGCGUUGUUCGGAUCCACUGGGCGUAAAGGGUGCGUAGGUGGUGAGGUAAGUCGGAUGUGAAGGCUCGGAGCUCAACUCCGAAAUGGCAUUGGAAACUACCUUGCUCGAGGGUUGGAGGGGGGACUGGAAUGCUUGGUGUAGCAGUGAAAUGCGUAGAUAUCAAGCGGAACACCAGUGGCGAAGGCGAGUCCCUGGACAACUCCUGACACUGAGGCACGAAAGCUAGGGGAGCAAACAGG